UUGAGGUUCCAUUGAGUGUAAAUUCAAUCCUGUGGAUCUGGAAAAGAUUAUGGGAUAUAAACAGAUGGAACCAAGGGACAGAAGCCUGGGAAAAGUGAUCAGGCCUGGAGAUGCACAAGCAAGAUUUUGGAGUUUACACCAAAGAGAUGGAACCAAGGGACAGAAGCCUGGGAAAAGUGAUCAGGCCUGGAGAUGCACAAGCAAGAUUUUGGAGUUUACACCAAAGGUGAUAGCGUUAGCAGUCAUGGGAGAUGUCUAGGGAGAGGUAAAAACAGAAGAGCACAGCUCUAAAGAAGUCUGGGGGAACC
rnacentral:lncRNA from 1 species